rnacentral:rRNA from 1 species
CACGUAGGCACCAAGCGUUAUCCGGAUUUAUUGGGCGUAAAGAGCUCGUAGGCGGUUCGGUAAGUCGGGUGUGAAAACUCUGGGCUCAACCCAGAGAGGCCACCCGAUACUGCUGUGACUAGAGUGCGGUAGGGGAGCGGGGAAUUCCUGGUGUAGCGGUGAAAUGCGCAGAUAUCAGGAGGAACACCGAUGGCGAAGGCAGGUCUCUGGGCCACUACUGACGCUGAGAAGCGAAAGCAUGGGGAGCGAACAGG